rfam:Zea mays cultivar B73 chromosome 2, whole genome shotgun sequence.
AAUCUAGUAUUGACACCAAUCCACAUGGGUUGGGGUGGAUUGGGGUGUAAAUUAGUUUAAGUUACAUCACAAUCCACCUCAACCCAUGUGGAUUGGUGUCAAUACUAUA